CAGUCGCCGCGGUAAUACGAAGGGUGCAAGCGUUACUCGGAAUUACUGGGCGUAAAGCGCACGUAGGCGGCUUGGUAAGUUAGAGGUGAAAGCCUGGAGCUCAACUCCAGAAUUGCCUUUAAGACUGCCGAGCUAGCAGGUGAGAGAGGUAAGUGGAAUUCCGAGUGUAGAGGUGAAAUUCCUAGAUAUUCGGAAGAACACCAGUGGCGAAGGCGGCUUACUGGCUCAUACUGGACGCUGAGGUGCGAAAGCGUGGGGAGCAAACAGGAUUAGAUACCCGCGUAGUCCUGUCUCUUAUACA
rnacentral:rRNA from 1 species